CUGGCGGCAGCCUACACAUGCAAGUCGAGCGGUAACACAAGGGAGCUUGCUCCUGAGGUGACGAGCGGCGGACGGGUGAGUAAUGCCUAGGGAUCUGCCCAGUCGAGGGGGAUAACAGUUGGAAACGACUGCUAAUACCGCAUACGCCCUACGGGGGAAAGGAGGGGACCUUCGGGCCUUCCGCGAUUGGAUGAACCUAGGUGGGAUUAGCUAGUUGGUGAGGUAAUGGCUCACCAAGGCGACGAUCCCUAGCUGUUCUGAGAGGAUGAUCAGCCACACUGGGACUGAGACACGGCCCAGACUCCUACGGGAGGCAGCAGUGGGGAAUAUUGCACAAUGGGGGAAACCCUGAUGCAGCCAUGCCGCGUGUGUGAAGAAGGCCUUCGGGUUGUAAAGCACUUUCAGUAGGGAGGAAAGGUAAUAGUUUAAUAAACUAUUACUGUGACGUUACCUACAGAAGAAGGACCGGCUAACUCCGUGCCAGCAGCCGCGGUAAUACGGAGGGUCCGAGCGUUAAUCGGAAUUACUGGGCGUAAAGCGUGCGCAGGCGGUUUGUUAAGCCAGAUGUGAAAUCCCCGGGCUCAACCUGGGAAUUGCAUUUGGAACUGGCGAACUAGAGUCUUGUAGAGGGGGGUAGAAUUCCAGGUGUAGCGGUGAAAUGCGUAGAUAUCUGGAGGAAUACCGGUGGCGAAGGCGGCCCCCUGGACAAAGACUGACGCUCAUGCACGAAAGCGUGGGGAGCAAACAGGAUA
rnacentral:rRNA from 1 species